GAUGAACGCUGGCGGCGUGCCUAAUACAUGCAAGUCGAGCGAACGGACGAGAAGCUUGCUUCUCUGAUGUUAGCGGCGGACGGGUGAGUAACACGUGGAUAACCUACCUAUAAGACUGGGAUAACUUCGGGAAACCGGAGCUAAUACCGGAUAAUAUUUUGAACCGCAUGGUUCAAAAGUGAAAGACGGUCUUGCUGUCACUUAUAGAUGGAUCCGCGCUGCAUUAGCUAGUUGGUAAGGUAACGGCUUACCAAGGCAACGAUGCAUAGCCGACCUGAGAGGGGGGUCGGCCACACGGGAACGGAGACACGGUCCAGACUCCUACGGGAGGCAGCAGUAGGGAAUCUUCCGCAAUGGGCGAAAGCCUGACGGAGCAACGCCGCGUGAGUGAUGAAGGUCUUCGGAUCGUAAAACUCUGUUAUUAGGGAAGAACAUAUGUGUAAGUAACUGUGCACAUCUUGACGGUACCUAAUCAGAAAGCCACGGCUAACUACGUG
rnacentral:rRNA from 1 species